GUGGGGAAUAUUGGACAAUGGGGGGAACCCUGAUCCAGCCAUGCCGCGUGUGUGAAGAAGGCCUUUUGGUUGUAAAGCACUUUAAGCGAGGAGGAGGCUACCGAGAUUAAUACUCUUGGAUAGUGGACGUUACUCGCAGAAUAAGCACCGGCUCACUCUGUGCCAGCAGCCGCGGUAAUACAGAGGGUGCAAGCGUUAAUCGGAUUUACUGGGCGUAAAGCGCGCGUAGGUGGCCCAUUAAGUCAAAUGUGAAAUCCCCGAGCUUAACUUGGGAAUUGCAUUCGAUACUGGUUGGCUAGAGUAUGGGAGAGGAUGGUAGAAUUCCAGGUGUAGCGGUGAAAUGCGUAGAGAUCUGGAGGAAUACCGAUGGCGAAGGCAGCCAUCUGGCCUAAUACUGACACUGAGGUGCGAAAGCAUGGGGAGCAAACAGGAUUAGAUACCCCUGUAGUCC
rnacentral:rRNA from 1 species